rnacentral:rRNA from 1 species
UACGUAGGGGGCAAGCGUUAUCCGGAUUUACUGGGUGUAAAGGGAGCGUAGGCGGCUAGGCAAGUCAGAUGUGAAAGCCCAGGGCUCAACCCUGGGACUGCAUUUGAAACUGCUUAGCUAGAGUGCAGGAGAGGUAAGUGGAAUUCCUAGUGUAGCGGUGAAAUGCGUAGAUAUUAGGAGGAACACCAGUGGCGAAGGCGGCUUACUGGACUGUAACUGACGCUGAGGCUCGAAAGCGUGGGGAGCAAACAGG